rnacentral:rRNA from 1 species
GGAGGUAGAUGGAGCUUGCUCUAUGUACCUUAGCAGCGAACGGGUGAGUAACACGUAGAUAAUCUGUCCUAUAUUGGGGGAUAGCCCGAUGAAAGUUGGAUUAAUACCGCAUACAGCUAUAUAGUUGCAUGAUUAUAUAGUGAAAGAUUUAUUGAUAUAGGAGGAGUCUGCGGCACAUUAGCUAGUAGGUGAUGUAAGAGCUUACCUAGGCGACGAUGUGUAGCCGGUCUGAGAGGAUGAACGGCCACAAUGGAACUGAGACACGGUCCAUACUCCUACGGGAGGCAGCAGUGGGGAAUAUUGCACAAUGGGGAAACCCUGAUGCAGCAACGCCGCGUGAGUGAAGAAGGUUUUCGGAUUGUAAAGCUCUGUUAGCAGGGAAGAGGAAGGACGGUACCUGCAGAGGAAGCCACGGCUAACUACGUGCCAGCAGCCGCGGUAAUACGUAGGUGGCAAGCGUUGUUCGGAAUAACUGGGCGUAAAGGAUGCGUAGGCGGUUAAAUAAGUUAUAUGUUAAAUAUAUAGGCUUAACCUGUAGAAAGCAUAUAAAACUGUUUAACUAGAGUGCAGGAGAGGUAAGUGGAAUUCCUAGUGCAGCGGUGAAAUGCGUAGAGAUUAGGAAGAACACCAGUGGCGAAGGCGACUUACUGGACUGUAACUGACGCUGAG